UGGGGAAUUUUGGACAAUGGGCGAAAGCCUGNUCCAGCCAUGCCGCGUGCAGGAUGAAGGCCUUCGGGUUGUAAACUGCUUUUUGUACGGAACGAAAAGCCUCUUUCUAAUAAAGAGGGGUCAUGACGGUACCGUAAGAAUAAGCACCGGCUAACUACGUGCCAGCAGCCGCGGUAAUACGUAGGGUGCAAGCGUUAAUCGAAUUACUGGGCGUAAAGCGUGCGCAGGCGGUUUUGUAAGACAGAGGUGAAAUCCCCGGGCUCAACCUGGGAACUGCCUUUGUGACUGCAAGGCUGGAGUGCGGCAGAGGGGGGAUGGAAUUCCGCGUGUAGCANUGAAAUGGCGUAGAUAUGCGGAGGAACACCGAUGGCGAAGGCAAUCCCCUGGGCU
rnacentral:rRNA from 1 species